GAAGAUCUAGUGGCGAACGGGUGAGUAACACGUGAGAAACCUGCCCUGGACUCGGGGAUAACUCGGAGAAAUCUGAGCUAAUACCGGAUGCCUUCAGAGAACCGCAUGGUUCAUUGAAGAAAGUUUUUCGGUCUGGGAGGGUCUCGCGGCCUAUCAGUUAGUUGGUGAGGUAACGGCUCACCAAGACUUCGACGGGUAGCUGGUUUGAGAGAACGAUCAGCCACACUGGGACUGAGACACGGCCCAGACUCCUACGGGAGGCAGCAGUGGGGAAUCUUGCGCAAUGGGCGAAAGCCUGACGCAGCAACGCCGCGUGCGGGAUGAAGGCCUUCGGGUUGUAAACCGCUUUCAGCAGGGACGAAGAUGACGGUACCUGCAGAAGAAGCUCCGGCUAACUACGUGCCAGCAGCCGCGGUAAUACGUAGGGAGCAAGCGUUGUCCGGAUUUAUUGGGCGUAAAGAGCUCGUAGGCGGUUUCGUAAGUCGGAUGUGAAAAAUCUGGGCUCAACCCAGUGGAGCACCCGAUACUGCGGUGACUGGAGUCCGGUAGG
rnacentral:rRNA from 1 species